GUUUGAUCCUGGCUCAGAUUGAACGCUGGCGGCAGGCCUAACACAUGCAAGUCGAGCGGCAGCGGGAAAGUAGCUUGCUACUUUUGCCGGCGAGCGGCGGACGGGUGAGUAAUGCCUGGGGAUCUGCCCAGUCGAGGGGGAUAACAGUUGGAAACGACUGCUAAUACCGCAUACGCCCUACGGGGGAAAGGAGGGGACCUUCGGGCCUUUCGCGAUUGGAUGAACCCAGGUGGGAUUAGCUAGUUGGUGGGGUAAUGGCUCACCAAGGCGACGAUCCCUAGCUGGUCUGAGAGGAUGAUCAGCCACACUGGAACUGAGACACGGUCCAGACUCCUACGGGAGGCAGCAGUGGGGAAUAUUGCACAAUGGGGGAAACCCUGAUGCAGCCAUGCCGCGUGUGUGAAGAAGGCCUUCGGGUUGUAAAGCACUUUCAGGCGAGGAGGAAAGGUUGG
rnacentral:rRNA from 1 species